AGUGAACGCUGGCGGUAGGCCUAACACAUGCAAGUCGAACGGCAGCACAGUAAGAGCUUGCUCUUACGGGUGGCGAGUGGCGGACGGGUGAGGAAUACAUCGUAAUCUACUUUUUCGUGGGGGAUAACGUAGGGAAACUUACGCUAAUACCGCAUACGACCUACGGGUGAAAGCAGGGGAUCUUCGGACCUUGCGCGAUUGAAUGAGCCGAUGUCGGAUUAGCUAGUUGGCGGGGUAAAGGCCCACCAAGGCGACGAUCCGUAGCUGGUCUGCGAGGAUGAUCAGCCGAACUGGAACUGAGACACGGUCCAGACUCCUACGGGAGGCAGCAGUGGGGAAUAUUGGACAAUGGGCGCAAGCCUGAUCCAGCCAUACCGCGUGGGUGAAGAAGGCCUUCGGGUUGUAAAGCCCUUUUGUUGGGAAAGAAAAGCAGCAGGUUAAUACCCCGCUGUUCUGACGGUACCCAAAGAAUAAGCACCGGCUAACUUCGUG
rnacentral:rRNA from 1 species